rnacentral:tRNA from 1 species
UGCGGCUGGAUCACCUCCCUUUCUAAAGGAUGAUCCUUCAGCUGAGCUCAAGCUCACUAUCCGGUAUGCGUGGUUUAGAAACAUUCAGGGGCCAACAGUUUCAGGAUUGUUGAGCUCCAUUGGCGGGAUUUCGCCGUCUUCGUUUCUCUUUCUUCGCGGACGAACACGCGCCAGGGGCUGAGCGCUGGGCGGUGCAUCGACUUCACGUCGGUUGCGCGCCGGCAUGUCUCUCGUGUUAGGGGGCUUGUAGCUCAGUUGGUUAGAGCGCGCGCUUGAUAAGAGUGAGGUCGGAAGUUCAAGUCUUCCCAGGCCCACCAUUUUGAUCGAGUGCGGAGCAUUCGUCUUCUGGUACGGGGCCAUAGCUCAGCUGGGAGAGCGCGUGCUUUGCAAGCAUGAGGUCGUCGGUUCGAUCCCGUCUGGCUCCACCAGAUGGAAUUGAAGCUCGAGAAUGCGCCUUGUGCAGGAAGCUCUGUUCAUUUCGUCCGCGAAACAUCACUUCGCACUCAUUGGUCCGGAUGGACGGUGACGUGCGUGUUUUCUGACAUCGUAAAGAGGAGAUCGAUCCGAGUUUGGAUCUGCGAAGCAAUUCGCGGGUGCCAUUCCUAAUCUCCAGAUCGUUUUCGGCGCUCGCGCAUCGCGGCUCAUCGCAAGAUGAGUGGGAUUGGCGAGUUGUAAAACGAUCUUUGUAGCGAAGCUUGACCGCCUCGCUAAUCGGGCCGAUCUUACGAAGCAAGCUUGGUCUUUCUAGUCAAUGUCCGGCUGCGCAAUCGCAUUCAUUCGAGGAUGCGUGCCUUCAGUGGCAGUUGUGCAGACAACAUUCUGCCGGAGUGUGUGGACAUUGAUAAUGAGACGCAAUCAAGGUGCCUAAUUGGGUGUUCGGUGGAUGCCUUGCCAAUUGGGUGUUCAAGGUGGAUGUCCU